rnacentral:rRNA from 1 species
UAGAGUUUGAUCCUGGCUCAGAUUGAACGCUGGCGGCAUGCCUAACACAUGCAAGUCGCGCGCGAAAGGGGCAACCCGAGUAGAGCGGCGGACGGGUGCGUAAUACAUAGGAAUCUACCUCGUUGUGGGGGACAACCCGGCGAAAGCCGGGCUAAUACCGCAUACGACCUAAGGGUGAAAGCCGGGGACCGCAAGGCCUGGCGCAAUGAGAUGAGCCUGUGUCGGAUUAGCUAGUUGGUGAGGUAAAGGCUCACCAAGGCAACGAUCCGUAGCUGGUCUGAGAGGACGACCAGCCACAUUGGGACUGAGACACGGCCCAAACUCCUACGGGAGGCAGCAGUGGGGAAUAUUGGACAAUGGGGGCAACCCUGAUCCAGCAAUGCCGCGUGUGUGAAGAAGGCCUUCGGGUUGUAAAGCACUUUCGGGAGGG